rnacentral:rRNA from 1 species
GACGAACGCUGGCGGCGUGCUUAACACAUGCAAGUCGAACGGAAAGGCCCUGCUUUUGUGGGGUGCUCGAGUGGCGAACGGGUGAGUAACACGUGAGUAACCUGCCCUUGACUUUGGGAUAACUUCAGGAAACUGGGGCUAAUACCGGCUAGGAGCGCCUGCUUCAUGGUGGGGGUUGGAAAGUUUCGGCGGUUGGGGCUGGACUCGCGGCUUAUCAGCUUGGUGGUGGGGUAGUGGCUUACCAAGGCUUUGACGGGUAGCCGGCCUGGGAGGGUGACCGGCCACAUUGGGACUGAGGUACGGCCAAGAGUGCUACGGGAGGCAGCAGUGGGGAAUAUUGCACAAUGGGCGGAAGCCUGAUGCAGCAACGCCGCGUGCGGGAUGACGGCCUUCGGGUUGUAAACCGCUUUCGCCUGUGACGAAGCGUGAGUGACGGUAAUGGGUAAAGAAGCACCGGCUAACUACGUG